rnacentral:misc_RNA from 1 species
GAAAUGCGAUAAGUAAUGUGAAUUGCAGAAUUCAGUGAAUCAUCGAAUCUUUGAACACAUCUUGCGCUCCUUGGUAUUCCUUGGAGCAUGCCUGUUUGAGUAUCAUGAAAUCUUCAAAGUAAAUCUUUUGUUAACUCAAUUGGUUUCUACUUUGGUAUUGGAGGUCUUUGCAGCUUCACACCUGCUCCUCUUUGUUCAUUAGCUGGAUCUCAGUGUUAUGCUUGGUUCCACUCGGCGUGAUAAGUUAUCUAUCGCUGAGGACACUGUAAAAGGUGGCCAAGGUAAAUGCAGAUGAACCGCUUCUAAUAGUCCAUUGACUUGGACAAUACUUUUAUGAUCUGAUCUCAAAUCAGGUAGGACUACCCGCUAAAUUUAAGC